UGUCAGGUUUGCUCUGGUUUUGUGCAAGUGUUUUGCAGAGCUAUGUUCACAGUGAAUCUAGGCAGGCUCCUUUUGCCCUCAGGUUUUCUGGAAUAAUAGUCUUUUAGGAUAAUGCUGGAACGGCACUCUUCUAGAGAAGAGGUACAUCCCAACCCAGUGACACUCCAUUUAAAAGCAUUUCUUUGCAACAUGACCAAUCAGCGAACCACACACGUAGGCUGGUUAGAUAUUUAAACCAAAAUCCAUGUAACUUCUCAGUCCAAGGGUGAUCUGACUUUCUCUGCAGAACUGCAAAAUUUCUUCAUUGUCAGGUUUUAUAUAUUUUUUUAACUUUAAUGGUGCUUGGAGCCAAUAAUCCUG